rnacentral:lncRNA from 1 species
GUUUGCUAAAGAGAACAUUUUUGAGAGGAUUCUUAGAAAAAAUGGGCUUGAGGGACAUAUCAGAGUUAGAUGAUCGUUCUACUGAAAGAGGUAGGGUGACAUCAGACUGGGAAAAAAGGCUAAAGAGACAUGAAAUGGAGAUGAGAAGGCAGACAAUAUGAAGGUCCUCAGUGGCAGGAAUAGUGGCUUCAUAAUCUCCCCAGAGAGAAGAACAGGAGCUUCCAAGAGAGAAGAACAGGGAAAAAAAAAAAAAAAAAGAAUUCUGAAAGGCAGAAGAGAAUAUGUUCAAUCAUUAGAGGAUACCGGAAAUUGAAGAGCUGAAAGUUUCAGUUGCUUUACUCUUCUCAUCUCUUUUUGAGAGAAAUAUCUCAGCAUUGGUGACAGGAUCAGUUUUGAACUUAAUGGACUGUCUAUGAACUACAUGAAUAAUUCCACCUUACUGUUCAUAGGGUUAAUAAAAUAAACUAUAAGGUUUUGUAUUUUAAUUUC